UACGUAGGGGGCUAGCGUUGUCCGGAAUCAUUGGGCGUAAAGAGCGUGUAGGCGGUCCGGUAAGUCCGCUGUGAAAGUCGGGGGCUCAACCCUCGAAUGCCGGUGGAUACUGUCGGGCUAGAGUGCGGGAGAGGCGAGUGGAAUUCCUGGUGUAGCGGUGAAAUGCGCAGAUAUCAGGAGGAACACCGGUGGCGAAGGCGGGUCUCUGGGCAACUACUGACGCUGAGGAGCGAAAGCGUGGGGAGCGAACAGG
rnacentral:rRNA from 1 species